rnacentral:lncRNA from 1 species
CCCCUGUACAUCUUUGGGGUCCCCCCAGCAUAUCCUUUGGGGUUUCUCCUUAAGGGGGGUCCCAUUUAGGCCCAUUGGGAUGGCUUUGGGGUCUCAGUUCCUCCCCCAUCUCCUCCCUGACCCCCCCAUAGAUCCUUUGGGGUCCCCCCUGUAGGUCUUUUGGGGUCCCUCCUUAAGGGAAUGCCCCUAUUGGGCCCAUUGGGAUGGCUUUGGGGUCUCAGUUCCUCCCUCAUCCCCUCCCUGACCCCCCC